GACGAACGCUGGCGGCGUGCUUAACACAUGCAAGUCGAACGGUAAGGCUCCAGCUUGCUGGGGUACACGAGUGGCGAACGGGUGAGUAACACGUGGGUGACCUGCCCUGCACUUCGGGAAAAGCCUGGGAAACUGGGUCUAAUACCGGAACGGACCAUGGUGUGGAUACUGUGGUGGAAAGGUUUUUCGGUAUGGGCUGGGCCCGCGGCCUAUCAGCUUGUUGGUGGGGUAAUGGCCUACCAAGGCGGCGACGGGUAGCCGGCCUGAGAGGGGGGACGGCCACAAGGGUCCUGAGACACGGACCAGACGCCUACGGUAGGCAGCAGUGGGGAACAUUGUACAAUGGGGGGAAGCCUGAUGCAGCGACGCCGCGUGGGGGAUGACGGCCUUCGGGGUGUAAACUCCUUUCACCUUCGACGAAGGGUUUCUGACGGUAGCUGGAGAAGAAGCACCGGCUAACUACGUG
rnacentral:rRNA from 1 species